GGGCCCGCACAAGCAGUGGAGUAUGUGGUUUAAUUCGACGCAACGCGAAGAACCUUACCAGGUCUUGACAUCUGCCGGAUCCGGUGGAAACAUCGGAGUGCCCUUCGGGGAACGGCAAGACAGGUGGUGCAUGGUUGUCGUCAGCUCGUGUCGUGAGAUGUUGGGUUAAGUCCCGCAACGAGCGCAACCCUUGUGAUCAGUUGCUACGCAAGAGCACUCUGAUCAGACUGCCGUUGACAAAACGGAGGAAGGUGGGGACGACGUCAAAUCAUCAUGCCCUUUAUGAUCUGGGCUACACACGUACUACAAUGGCCGUAAACAGAGGGAAGCGAAACCGCGAGGCGGAGCGAACCCCUAAAAACGGUCCCAGUUCGGAUUGUAGGCUGCAACCCGCCUGCAUGAAGCUGGAAUUGCUAGUAAUCGCGGAUCAUCAUGCCGCGGUGAAUACGUUCCCGGGCCUU
rnacentral:rRNA from 1 species